rnacentral:tRNA from 1 species
GACCCUGUAGUGAAGUUCAUGUUGAGUUGCAAGCUCAUUGAUGUGUGUUGAUAGACGCACCGGGGUCU